CGACUCGCAGACCGGGACGGACGCACGUCCCACGGGGAGCCAGCAUCUCUUUGUUUCACCUAACGUCCAUCUGGGGUAUUAGAGGUGUCGCGUGGUUGCGGUUGGCGCGUGGCUCUAGGACCAGCCGCCGCGGGGCGGACGAGCUCAGGAGAGCGGCUCCUUGCCCACGAAGCCGUACUGCGAGUAGGGCCCCAGCGGCACGAACUUGGAGUCGCGGCCCGCCGCCUGGCCGCGCCGCCGCGCCGGCCGCGUGGAGCCGCUGCAGCGCGCCGCGGCCCGCAGCUCGCCCGCCAUCUGCGAGCACAGCGACGACUGCCGCGGCCACAGCCACCCUCGUCUUAGUCCAUGCAGGUGUUAGCCUAGUAUAUGGAGGUGUUAGUCCAUGGAGGUUCCCUAAAAAUGAAGAAAGAAAAACUUGGAUAGCUGCAACGAGGAGGAAGAACUGGAAACCUACUCAAAAAACUAGGAUUUGUUCGCAGCAUUUUCAUGAGAAUGAUUUUGACAAGCUGUCAUUGUACCGUGCCCGUCUUCGUGAAAAUGCUUUAUGAAAUAUUAUUUUUUUAACAUUUAACCAUGAGGAUUUUUAAUACAUUACACAUUCUGUAUUUUUUAUUACUGUACUUUGACCAAUCAUUUUAUUUAACAUUAAAAACAUUAUAGCUUUUUGGAGACUUGAGUAUUUUUUGCUUAUGUAUGUUAGUUAACCUGUGAAUCUGCAUUCAAAGUUAAUGUAUUGCCAUGGAGAUAUAAAAAAUAAACAGAACAUUAUACAAGUAACCAUGUGCUAACUUGUAAACUCGAAGAGGUAGAGCUUGAGAGCUAUUUUGAACUAAGUAGUAAAAACAUUUGAAACUGAAUGCUGAAGUACCCAUGAUUAUGUUUACUGGGGUGUAUAGGAACCUUAAA